AGAUCCGCACUGCCCCGGUGCGGGCUAUGCACUCGUGCAGUCGGAGCGCUACAUCUUCGCUUUUUUGCUAAACCUAUGAAAGAAAAGCGUACUGGAAUCAGUGAACUAGCUAGUACUUAAUGGACUACUGUGACAUCCUCAGUAGCUGAAAUGGGCGUUGUGUAUAUUUCAAUAGUUUUCUUCUUCAGUCCGGUUCUCCUCGCUGAAGGCAGGAAUGUGAGAAACGAAAAAUGCUCAAAGGAAGUAACAGUGGAAGGCUGCGACACGGUGCUCUUAGGCUGGAGCUUUAGCCCACAGCAUAAUAAAUGCGUGAAAGGCUUCUCCUGCUCCGAUAUUGCAAACAGAUUUGAAAACGAAUGGCAAUGCAAGACGACAUGCCCUCCAGUCUCUGGCAGGAAACCAAAAGUUAAGGUACUGGUCAUGUGGAGCUGCCAAUUUUGGCUCAAGUAUGGCGGAGCGUGUCAAAAGCGCUGGUAUGAAUUCUACACUAACAAGAACGGCAGGAAGUGCAGAUUGCUUUAUUAUACGGGCUGUGAUGCCUGGAAACACAAGUUAUAUACAUUCGACUAUUGCAGGCGACGAUGCCGUGUGUACCUGGGCCGGCGAAAGAAAUAUCCUAAAUGAAACGACGAAACCUCGAAAUAUCUUCUGGUCGUUGUUUAAUAUAUUUGCCAUAGGUAAACGUGCGUUCAUAUUUCGGAAGAAAGCUACGGAGGAAAUAAGGCAAUUCUACCACGAUGCUAUGGGCCUGCUACCUUGUGCCUUGUUAUAUGCAGAUUAUAAAUAACGUGUGAUCGUUUCGUCAGGUACAUACAUACCUGAACGAAACGCGUGGUUCUGGCACGUAGCAGUGCACGCAAACUCACAUUAGGUUCGUCGAAGGCCUGAAGAAAGCCUUAAGGAGACAUCGCCUUCUGCGACAUAUAGAUAACAUAACCGGACCCAGGCCCGUAGCCAGGAAUUUUUUUCGGCGGUGGGGGGGCACUUGCUGAAAGCCUCGACUAUUCGAGAAAAACGCCUAUUUUCAUUAUAUAUUUUCGGUAAAACACAAUGUAUCAUAAAAAUUUCGGGGGGGGGGGUGCCCCCCCCCCCCUGGCUACGGGCCUGACCGGACCUUUCCUGAAUGGUAUGCACACAUAUCACAUCAUACAUAUAAUACACAUGGUACGCAUGAUAAAAACACGUAGGGUAAUUAUUCGUAUAAUUUGCGUACGAUACUGUUGCAGAAAUUUUGUACAUGUGUAGUGGAAAAAGCAAUUUUCGAGCCUCCUUGCUGUAAGAAAGACAAUGCGUAGGCUAAGCAUCCUUGUAUUUCGCAUUCCUCAUUGUAUUUCCCUUGGCUUUUUGUACGCAUCGUGUACUUCUUCCUCAUUUUUCCUCUACCGCGCGUUUCCUACGUGGGGCUUCGGUGAAGUGAUGCUGAAAAGAAAACAGCACGCUUCUUCAUCAGGGAUGCCGUGCACUCAUUACAUAGUCAAAUAAAUAGUCGUAUGUUUACGUCCGAAUAUAUGUGUGUAUGAACACAGAUAUCCGAACAAAACAGCAAAAUAUUUUCCAAUACUGGUGGUGUUUGCUGCCCCAAUUUCUUGAUGUUCAAGAGUAACUAACGUAGGUCGCACACAGGCAAACGCAUGGAAGCUAUUCUUAUGAACUGAACUUUUGCCCACUCGAGAUGCUUUAGCUAUGCUAAUGCCUGAAGAUUUUACCUGCAGUAACGCAUGUUAUCGGUAGCAAUGUCGAUUGGGGAAUAAAAAAAUAACGGCGCUAAUAAUGGGAAUGCCACUGGUUACCUGUAAAAAAAUAUAGUUCUCACUCGGGCUAUACUUACAGAAGAAAAUUGACUGUAUGGUUCACAGACUACACAACCAGUAAUUACCGGUUCUAUUGUCCUCUCAAUUCGUAUUUAGAGGACAGAAGAAAUGAUGUAAGUGGACUCUUCGGCAAAUGUGUAUGCUUGCUACGCCUUAACGAGAACUAUGAUUGCAUUAGUAAACGUGUUUUUGGUCGAGUGGGUUCAUUACUUGAAAAAGUAAAACCGUAGCGCGAAAGAAACAAGGACGAGAACAAGGACACAGAACUUGCGCGCAUCUUUUCCUUGUUUCUUUUGGCUGCGGUUUCUUUUUCUCAAGCUACGAGUGCCUAAUGGGCCAAACUUACAAUACGCAGCUUCGGCAUAACAAUGGCCCUGUGGCUUUCGUCUGGGAAGAAGGUCUUACGCUCGACUGUUAUUGUGACUAUUUUUGAACUGCACAAGAUUAAUCAUCUGAAAGUAGAGAGGCACCAUCUCCUUUACAUAAGUCUUAACUUGUAGUGCAAGCUUCCGCCUGUGUUAGUGCCUGUGCUAACACUGUGUUAACACAGCUACCACCUGCGUUAACGUAGGGCAAGCUACCGCCUGUGUUGACGCUGGACAGAGUAUUUACAUAGGUCGAGCGCAUGCAGGCUGUGAACUACUCCAGUUAUUCCAAAUGCUUACUAAUUUAAAGGGACACUAAAGAGCAAAACGAUUUAUUUCGCAUUAGUAAAGGAGUCUUCCACGAUACCAAAAACACCAGGCUUGCUGCGAGAACACGCUUAGUAAGCGAGAAAACGCGCAAAAAGAAAAUACAGGUGGCGACGCCACCUUGGAAUUCCCGCGCCAUUUGCCGUGACGUCACAUAUUUUUGACGGCGCCUGCUUGGGCCUACGUAGUUCCUAAUCGGUUAAAUCGAAGUACAUUGUCCUCUGAGGGGGCCAGAGACUUGACAUAACGAGUUUGUGGAAAUUUCGUCGAGCCAGUGGCGCCAAAAUACGUUAAAUGCUCUUUGAAACCUUUUACGUCACGAAUUACAAAGUUCACCGCGAAAUUUAAAAAUGAAACUUUGAACUUGGUUUUCUCCUGUAAUAUUGAACCUAUGGUGGUGAAAUAAACUACACAAGAGUUAUCCGAGCACACUUUAUUAGUAUAAACCAAUUCGUUGUUUCUCUUUAGUGUCCCUUUAAGGUAAAUCGUGCGAAAAACGUAUUCUUGACACCAACGUGCUUUAAAGUAAAUUAGAACUGUUUGGUUGACUGAAUAAUUCACGAAAAGCACAUAGCUAAAAUCUCAUGAGGGCAAUAAAAAAUGACUGUCGAUUUAUUGUUAUCUUUUUUUAACAGCAAAGCUGGUUAAGCCGGCCGUAAAGUGUCGACCCUUCCGCAAAAUUGUCACCAUCAUGAACGGGUAUGUGCCACAGAAUUCGGUCAAAUCCCACUGCUCAUUGCUACGCCGUGGCCUGUAAUAACCCUGAUGGGUGAGGGAACGCGUACAGAGAGAGAGAGAGAAAGAAAGAAAAAGCGAAACAGAGAC